UACGUAGGGACCAAGCGUUGUUCGGAUUUACUGGGCGUAAAGGGCGCGUAGGCGGCAAAUUAAGUCAUCUGUGAAAUCUCCGAGCUUAACUCGGAACGGUCAGGUGAUACUGAUCUGCUAGAGUGCGGAAGGGGCAAUCGGAAUUCUUGGUGUAGCGGUGAAAUGCGUAGAUAUCAAGAGGAACACCUGAGGUGAAGACGGGUUGCUGGGCCGACACUGACGCUGACAGCGCGAAAGCCAGGGGAGCAAAGCGGG
rnacentral:rRNA from 1 species